rnacentral:rRNA from 1 species
GUCCACGCCGUAAACGAUGAGUGCUAGGUGUUGCGGGUAUUGACCCCUGCAGUGCCAAAGCUAACGCGUUAAGCACUCCGCCUGGGGAGUACGGUCGCAAGAUUAAAACUCAAAGGAAUUGACGGGGCCCGCACAAGCGGUGGUGCAUGUGGUUUUAAUUCGACGCAACGCGCAGAACCUUACCUGGGUUUGAACUGCAGCGGACCGGCGCAGAGAUGUGCCUUCCCUUCGGGGCCGCUGUGGAGGUGCUGCAUGGCUGUCGU